AUUGGGGAAUCUUCCGCAAUGGGCGCAAGCCUGACGGAGCGACGCCGCGUGCGGGAUGAAGGCCUUCGGGUUGUAAACCGCUGUCAGUGGGGAGGAAAUCUGUGGGGGUUAUCCCCUGCAGUCGACCUAACCGCAGAGGAAGUCCGGGCUAAGUACGUGCCAGCAGCCGCGGUAAUACGUGCCGGACGAACGUUAUUCGGAAUUACUGGGCUUAAAGAGUGCGUAGGCGGCCCACCAGGUGGGGUGUGAAAUCCCACGGCUCAACCGUGGAAUUGCGCUCCAAACCGGCGGGCUUGAGAAGGACAGGGGUGAGCGGAACUGAUGGUGGAGCGGUGAAAUGCGUUGAUAUCAUCAGGAACACCGGUGGCGAAGGCGGCUCACUGGGUCCUUACUGACGCUGAGGCACGAAAGCUAGGGGAGCGAAAGGGAUUAGAUACCCCAGUAGUCAAU
rnacentral:rRNA from 1 species